GAAAUGCGAUAAGUAGUGUGAAUUGCAGAAUUCAGUGAAUCAUCGAAUCUUUGAACGCACAUUGCGCCCCUUGGUAUUCCAUGGGGCAUGCCUGUUCGAGCGUCAUCUUUCAUUGGCAGCGUUUCCUUGCCCCCCUCUCGCGCAGCACAUCGCGCUUCUCGAGGGCGGCUCCGGCACGCGACCCACGAAAGAUGACCACCGUCUUUGACCUCGGAUCAGGUAGGGAUACCCGCUGAACUUAA
rnacentral:misc_RNA from 1 species